ACAUCCGCCCGGAUGUCAUCGUUGGCAGCGUGUUAGAGAGGGAGAGAGGGAGAGAGAGUUAGAGAGAGAAAGACACAGACAGACAGAGAGAAAAUCUUGUUUCUCUGUUGCCUUAGUAUAAUCCGUCUCAAGAAAAAGUGGUGGGCAGAGGCAGCUGGUUUUGAUCCCAAACCCAAAAGCCUCUCUCCAUCUCCCUCUCUCUCUCUCUCUCUCUCUCUCUCUCUCUCUUCAGUGCUCAAUUGCUCAUUUACAGUGGAGGAAGGAAGUGGAAUUGUGAUGAACAGAGGGUUUGGGAGUUGAGAAUAGAAGAGUUUGGGCAUCUGGGUUCAUAUUAUCCAUUGAUGGUAUGGCACAGAAUAAACCCAAGAGGCUAUACCAAGUCUGGAAAGGAAGCAAUAACUUUCUCUGUGGCGGAAGAUUAAUUUUUGGUCCUGAUGUGGCAUCUCUUCUUCUGUCCACACUUCUUGUUGCCGGCCCAGCAGUUGCCUUUUGUAUAAAGGUUUAUUUUAAAAUCAAACAUGGGAAGAAUACAGAUUAUCCUGUAUUAAUUGUUGGCUCAGUCCUUACUGUUUUGGUAAGUCU